CACGUAGGGUGCGAGCGUUGUCCGGAAUUAUUGGGCGUAAAGAGCUCGUAGGCGGUCUGUCGCGUCGAAUGUGAAAACCCGGGGCUCAACCCCGGGCCUGCAUUCGAUACGGGCAGACUAGAGUUCGGUAGGGGAGUCUGGAAUUCCUGGUGUAGCGGUGAAAUGCGCAGAUAUCAGGAAGAACACCCGUGGCGAAGGCGGCUCUCUGGGACGGUACUGACGCUGAGACGCGAAAGCGUGGGGAGCGAACAGG
rnacentral:rRNA from 1 species